UUGGGACUAGCAUAACAUAUUGCAUAUCAUUUUUAGGUCAUUAGGCAUUGCAUAUUGCAUAUCAUGUGGUUACAUUGUGCAAGUUAUCCUCCUAAGUCUUGGUCAGCAGAUAAGAGGUGGAGAUGCAAGCCUAGGGUUUUAUUGACUGAUCAUUAGCCAUCUGAGGAUUGGGCUAUGAAUUAGGGUUUUGGAUUCUCAAGGGGAUUGGUCUUGAUCUUG
rnacentral:lncRNA from 1 species